rnacentral:rRNA from 1 species
AUGCCUUACACAUGCAAGUCGAACGGUAACAGGUCUUCGGAUGCUGACGAGUGGCGAACGGGUGAGUAAUACAUCGGAACGUGCCCGAGAGUGGGGGAUAACGAAGCGAAAGCUUUGCUAAUACCGCAUACGAUCUCAGGAUGAAAGCAGGGGACCGCAAGGCCUUGCGCUCACGGAGCGGCCGAUGGCAGAUUAGGUAGUUGGUGGGAUAAAAGCUUACCAAGCCGACGAUCUGUAGCUGGUCUGAGAGGACGACCAGCCACACUGGGACUGAGACACGGCCCAGACUCCUACGGGAGGCAGCAGUGGGGAAUUUUGGACAAUGGGCGCAAGCCUGAUCCAGCCAUGCCGCGUGCAGGAUGAAGGCCUUCGGGUUGUAAACUGCUUUUGUACGGAACGAAAAGACUCUGGUUAAUACCUGGGGUCCAUGACGGUACCGUAAGAAUAAGCACCGGCUAACUACGUGCCAGCAGCCGCGGUAAUACGUAGGGUGCGAGCGUUAAUCGGAAUUACUGGGCGUAAAGCGUGCGCAGGCGGUUAUGUAAGACAGAUGUGAAAUCCCCGGGGCUCAACCUGGGAACUGCAUUUGUGACUGCAUAGCUAGAGUACGGCAGAGGGGGAUGGAAUUCCGCGUGUAGCAGUGAAAUGCGUCGAUAUGCGGAGGACACCGAUGGCGAAGGCAAUCCCCUGGGCCUGUACUGACGCUCAUGC